GAGGGUAUGGCUCAGUGGUUGAGCACUUGCUUAGCAUGCAAGGGGUCCUGGGUUCAUUUCCAAGUACCUCCA
rnacentral:tRNA from 1 species